rnacentral:rRNA from 1 species
AACGCUGGCGGCGUGCUUAACACAUGCAAGUCGAACGGGAGUAUUGAAGAAGCUUGCUUUAGAGAUACUUUAGUGGCGGACGGGUGAGUAACGCGUGAGGAGCUGUCCUAUGCAGGGGGACAACAGCUGGAAACGGCUGCUAAUACCCCAUAAGCCGAGAGGUAAAAGGAUCAAUCCGGCAGAGGAGGUACUCGCGUCCUAUCAGCUAGUAGGUGAGGUAACGGCUCACCUAGGCGAAGACGGGUAGCCGGCCUGAGAGGGCGAACGGCCACACUGGAACUGAGAUACGGUCCAGACUCCUACGGGAGGCAGCAGUGGGGAAUAUUGGGCAAUGGGGGAAACCCUGAACCCCCAGCGACGCCGCGUGGGUGAAGAAAUCCUUCGGGAUGUAAAGCCCUGUUGUAUGGGAAGAGCGGAAGACGGUACCAUACGAGGAAGCCCCGGCAAACUACGUGCCAGCAGCUGC